rnacentral:lncRNA from 1 species
UAUCAUGAUGUAUUAUGUAUUUUAUGUAUUGUUUGAUUAGAUUUGCUAAAAUAUUAAGUAUUUUUGUGUCUAUGUUCAUGAGGGAUGCUGAUGUAUAAUUUUCUUUUCUUAUGAUAUCUUUGGUUCUAGAGUCAAAGUAAUACUGAUUUUAUACAAUGACUUGGUGCAUAUUCUCUUUCAUUUUCUGAAAAAAUGUGUAGGAAUACUUUUUUUUUAUGUUUUACGUUUUAUCAGUGAAGCCAUUUGGCCUGCAGUUUUCUUUGUGUGAAGGUAUUUGAAAUUCUUUAUUAGAUAUAGGGAUAUUGGAUUUUCUAUUUCUUUUCUUUUCUUUUUUUUUUUUUUUUUUUUUUUUUGGUGGAGACAGGGUCUCAGUAUGUUGCCCAGGCUAAUUUUAAAUGCCUGGCCUCAGGGUGAUCUUCCUGUCUUGGUCUCUCAAAGUGCUAGGAUUACAGGUGUGACCCACUGCACCCGGCUGAUUUUCUGUUUCUUCUUGUGUCAUUUUGGCAAGUUGUGUCUUUUAAAGACUUUGUAAACUUCAUUUUUGUUGUUGAACUUAUCGACAUAACAUUGUUCACAGUAUGCUUUCAUUAUUCCUUUAAUAUCUUUGUAAUUUGUUGUGAUGUCCUUUCUUUUAUUACUGAUAUUUGUAAUUUGUGUUUUUUUUUGAUUAGCCUUGGUAUGAGUUUAUCAGUUUUAUUAACCUUUUCAAAGAGCUAACUUCUGGUUUGCUGAUAUUCAGUUUCAUUGAUCUACUCUAUUAUGAACAAAUAUCUUCUUACUUUGGUUUUGAUUAACUCUUUUUCUAGCUUCUCAAGUGGGUAACAGAUAGUGAUUUUAUGUUUUUUCUUUUCUAAUCCAGGCAUUUUAAAGCUACACAAUUCCCUAAAGAGCUGCUUUAACUGCAGCCCUCAGAUUUUGACAUGUAUUAUCAUUCAGUUCAAAAUAUUUUCCAAUUUUCUUUGUGACUUAUUCUUUGAACUAUAAGUGAUUUAGAAGUGUAUAGUUUAAUUUCCAAACAAUUGGGGGAAUUUUCUAGAUAUUUUAUUAUUAUUGAUUACUAAUUUAAUGCUGUAGUGGCCAAAGAAUAUACUCUGUAUAAUUCAAAUGUUUUAAAUUUAUUGAGACUUGUUUUGUGGCCCAGCAUAUGGUCUGUUUUGGUGAAGGUUUCAUGUGCACUUGAAAGGAAUGUGUAUGCUACUUUUGAUGUGUGUAGUGUCCCACAAAUACCAAUGGCAUCAAGUUGGUUGAUAGUGCUAUUCAAAUCUUCCAUAUCCUUACUGUUUUUUUUUCCCUAAUUUUACCAGCUGUUGAGAGAGGGGGUGUCAACAUCUCUAACUAUGGGAUUUUGGUGGUGUCUAUAUUUCCUUUGUUCUCUCAAUUUUUGCUUUAUGUAUUUGGGACCUGUGAUAUUGCAUUAUAUAUAUAUUUUUUAAUUUUAAUUUUAAUUUAUUUUUUUGAGACAGAGUCUCAUUCUGUCACCCAGGCUGGAGUGCAGUGGCACAAUCUUGGCUCACUGCAGCCUCCAUCUCCUGGAUUCAAGUGGUUCUCCUGUCUCAGAGUCCCAAGUAGCUGGGAUUACAGGUGUCCACCACCACUCCUGUCUAAUUUUUGUAUCUUUAGUAGAGAUGGGGUUUCACCAUGUUGGCUAGACUGGCCUCGAACUCCUGAUCUCAAGUGAUCCACCCACGUCAGCCUCCCAAAGUGCUGGGAUUACAGACAUAAACCACCGUACCCUGGCCUAUAUAUUUGGUUUUCGUCUCCAUUUCCUGACAUAUCAGCUUCUAACUCUCUUGGAAUCUCCUGAGUGAUAAGAGUGUCUUUUUUAUGCUAAUGAGAUGACUAUGGCCAGAGGCCCCAAGGUAGCUUCAGGAUGGGGCUGGUCACCAUAAAGACCAAAGUAGGAUUAGGGGACUGGAACUUUCAGCACCCCCCUACCACAGGGAGGGGAGAGGGUCUAAAGGUUUAGUUGAUCACCAAUGGCCAAUGAUAUAUUUUCUGACCUCUUUACUCUUUAUUAUUUACUCAUUCCUUUUUGCAGAACUAUGCUUUUAAGAUUAUAUAUAUCUAUAUAGCUCUUUCUCUAUAUCUAUCUAUAUAUACACAUAUAUAUAUUUGAGGUUCUGAAAGUAUAAGUAUACAUAUAGGCAUAUAUUUUUACAUUUCUUAUAGUGCAGUACUGCUGGAGUCCAGCAUCUACUUCUUCAUUUUAUAACUUGGAUUAGAUCUCAGUUAACUAACCUAUACCAUGCCUCUUAUUUUGUCAAAGAGAAUGUUUAUUUUUAAACCUUAAGCUUUCUGAUGAAUCAUAAACCAUAAUUUCCUAUUUUGAUUUAGCCAGUGAGGUAAUAUCAAGUUGCUUCCCCAGGUUUUUCUUUUUCUUUUUUUUUUUUUUCUUUGAGACAGAGUUUUUGUUCUUGUUGCCCAGGCUGGAGUGCAGUGGUGCAAUCUCAGCUCACUGUGACAUCUGCGUCCUGGGUUCAAGUGACUCUUCUGCCUCAGCCUCCCAAGUAGCUGGGAUUAUAGGCAUGCGCCACCAUGCCUGGCUAAUUUUGUAUCUUUAAUAGAGACAGAGUUUCUCCAUGUUGGUCAGGCUGGUCUUGAACUCCCGACCUCAGGUGAUCCACCCACCUUGGCCUCCCAAAGUGCUGGGAUUACAGGCGUGAGCCAUCGUGCCUGGCCUCAGAUUUUUCCUAUAUAUAAAUUUUACAAUGGCUUAUCCUUAAAAAGUACUUAAGUUAUUCUAUUAUUGCUGCAUAACAAAUUACCUGAAAAUUUAGUGGUAUCCAACCAUAAUGUUUCAUUUUUCUCAUGAUUUUGUCAGGGAUUAGGUGAGGCAGUCUCACUUUGGAGUCUGUCAUGCAGUUUUGGCCAGAUGUCAGAUGGGGCUGCAGUCAUGUGAAGGUUCUACUGGGCCGGAAACCUACAAUGACCCUCACACAUGGCUGGCAGGCUGUUGGGAGCUCAGCUGAAACUGUUGGCUGGAGCAUUUAUAUGCAGCUUGUCCAUGACAGUGAUUUCAGGAUAACUGGACUUUUUACAUGGGCUGGUUUCACCUGAGAGGAAGUGUCUCAAGAGAACCAGGCAGAAAUUUUUCAGACCUUUUAGAGGCUUUUCAGAACUAUACUUGGUGUAGUAUCAUUUCUGUUGUGUUCUAUUGUUUGAAGCAGUCACAAGCGUGUCCAGAUUCAAGUGGUGGUGACAUACCCCCCAUCUCUUCAUGGGAUGAGUGUCAAAGAGCUUGUGGGCAAUACAUUUAUACUGUUUCAUGGUUACUGAAGUAUAUCUUACAUGUAAUAAAAUGCACGGAUCUUAAGCAUCGAGUUCAAUGAAUUUUGGUAAUUGUUUAGACCCCUGCAUCAACUGCCUGAUGUCAGGUACAGAACAUUGUUUUCACUCUGUAAACUUCCCUUGCGUGCCUUUCAAGUCAAUCCUCACACAUAGUUUUUCCUGUUCUGUGAAGGCACAUAAGUGGAAUUAUACUAUUUGUGUAUUUGGCUUCUUCAACUCAAAUAAAACUUUCAGAUUCAUCCAU